AACGAACGCUGGCGGCAUGCCUAACACAUGCAAGUCGAACGAGACCUUCGGGUCUAGUGGCGCACGGGUGCGUAACGCGUGGGAACCUGCCCUUAGGUUCGGAAUAACUCCCCGAAAGGGGUGCUAAUACCGGAUAAUGUCUUCGGACCAAAGAUUUAUCGCCUUUGGAUGGGCCCGCGUUGGAUUAGCUAGUUGGUAGGGUAAAAGCCUACCAAGGCGACGAUCCAUAGCUGGUCUGAGAGGAUGAUCAGCCACACUGGGACUGAGACACGGCCCAGAUUCCUGAGGAGGGGAGCAGGGGGGAAAAUGGGACAAGGGGCGAAAGCCUGAUCCAUCAAGGCCGGAGAGGUGAUGAAGGCCUUAGGGUUGUAAGGCUCUUUAACCCGGGAUGUUAAGACGGGUCCCGGAGAAAAAGGCCCGGGCAAACUCCGG
rnacentral:rRNA from 1 species